AAUAAAAAUGUUUAUAGUUUAAAUAAUUUAUUAAAAGUUUAUUUUACAUAUAAAUUUUAGUAUUAUAUUUUAAUUUAUUUUAAUAAUAAGUUUAAUUUUUAAUUGUAGUAAUUAAUAUUAAAUAAUUUAAGAAAUUAAGAUUUAGUAAUAUUUUAAAUUAAUAACAAAUUUUGUGCCAGCAGUUGCGGUUAAACAAAAGUUAAAUUAAAUUUUAUUGGUUAAAUUAAUAAAUAAAAUGAUAAUAUAAUUUAAAUUUUAAAUUAUUAAGUGAAAUUUUAAUUUAAUAUAAUUUUAUUAUAAUUUUAUGAUUUAAUAAAUUUUGUUAAAAACUAGGAUUAGAUACCCUAUUAUUAAAAUUUUAAAUUUAAAAUACUAAAAUAGUAAAUGAUUAUUCAUUAAAACUUAAAUAAUUUGGCGGUAUUUUAGUUCAUUUAGAGGAAUCUGUUUAUUAAUUGAUAAUCCACGAAUAAAUUUACUUAAUUUAUAAUUUUGUAUAUCGUUGUUAAAAAAAUAUUUUUUAAUAAAAAUAAUAUUUGAAAAUUAUUAUAAAAAUUAAAUCAGAUCAAGAUGCAGAUAAUAAUUAAGGUAUAUAAUGGAUUACAAUAAUUUUAUUUAAAUGAAUAUUAAUUUGAAAAAUUUAAUUGAAAGUGGAUUUAAAUGUAAUUUUAUUUAAUUUAAUAAAAUGAUUAUUAAUUGAAAUAUGUACAUAUUGCCCGUCGCUUUCAUAUAUUUAAUAAAUUGAAAUAAGUCGUAACAAAGUAGAGGUACUGGAAAGUGUUUCUAGAAAGAA
rnacentral:ncRNA from 1 species